GACGAACGCUGGCGGCGUGCUUAACACAUGCAAGUCGAACGGAAAGGCCCUGCUUUUGUGGGGUGCUCGAGUGGCGAACGGGUGAGUAACACGUGAGUAACCUGCCCUUGACUUUGGGAUAACUUCAGGAAACUGGGGCUAAUACCGGAUAGGAGCUCCUGCUGCAUGGUGGGGGUUGGAAAGUUUCGGCGGUUGGGGAUGGACUCGCGGCUUAUCAGCUUGUUGGUGGGGUAGUGGCUUACCAAGGCUUUGACGGGUAGCCGGCCUGAGAGGGUGACCGGCCACAUUGGGACUGAGAGACGGCCCAGACUGCAACGGGAGGCAGCAGUGGGGAAUAUUGCACAAUGGGCGGAAGUCUGAUGCAGCAACGCCGCGUGCGGGAUGACGGCCUUCGGGUUGUAAACCGCUUUCGCCUGUGACGAAGCGUGAUUGACGGUAAUGGGUAAAGAAGCACCGGCUAACUACGUG
rnacentral:rRNA from 1 species